rnacentral:lncRNA from 1 species
GCCGCCGCUUGACACCGGAUCGAGCUUCCCUUGGCCGAGACCCACCACCUCCGUCGACCGCCGGUGAGCAUCCCUCCUCCUUGCCUUCGUUCUCAUGCCAAAUAACAUGAUGCUUCUUCCGUUUCGGCCCCAAACCGAGAUCACCCUCGGCCUCUUCCUCCCUGUCAGCCACCGCAAUGGCCGCCGACCGCCAUGGCGGCCGGCUGACCGUCGACCGAGGGGUGGCCUCCGGCCACCCCGCCGCCCUCUUCCUCUUCCGCUAUCCCUCUCGGUUUCCCUGCCGUGGGGGGCGGUUGGGGAAGAAGAUAGCCAAUGUGGGCCGAAUUGGGCCAAGCUUGGCCCAGUUCACUGUGGGCCUAGCUUAGGCCCAGUUGGAACCUGCAAAAAAAAAAAAAAAAAAGAAGAAGAAGAAAACCUGAAACCAGCUCAGACCCGAAAUCUAGAAUCCAGUUCAGAUUCGAAAUCCGACCCAAAACCCAGUUCAACUCUGAACCCGAACCCGGAGCCCAAACCCGAACCCGAAACCCGAAACCCGAAACCUAGAAUCCGAAAUUUGAAAUCCAGUUCUGACCCGAAAUUCGAAAUCCAAAAUCCGAAACUUGAAACCCAGAACCCAAAAUCCGAACCUGUUUGGCCAGUAAAUGAAAUUUUACAGUUAAGCCCUUGAUAGUAUAUUAUUGCACAAAAGAGCCUUCUGUAAUUUAGGUUUGAUCCCUCUAAGAAAGUUGUAUUGCAUAAAGGUCCUCAAAUAUAUUAUUAAGUCCAUUCACUCAAGUUUUAUUAAGUAUUAGUCCCUGCAAUGAAUUUUAUUGCAUAAAUGAACUAAUUAGAAGCCAACCUUGGGGGCCCUAUUUAGCUGGGUCUAUGCGGGCCCAUUGGGUCGUGUCCGAUAUGGGCCCUAUCGGACCAUGCCCAUUAUGGGCCAACUCUAGGACCUGUUGGAUCGUACUCAGUAGUAUUAUUUCUGGAUUUUGCUCAGCUCUGAAAUUAACAAGGAAUUAAUUAAAUUUAAACAGGUGAACCUGAUCCGCCUAUCUGAAGCAGGGGUUAGGCGAGAAGAGGUAAGUAACUUAAUGCUUCAAAGUGCAUUUUCGAAAUUAUUUGGUAAAAUAAUUAUUAGUGGAUUAAUUUUGAAACAUGUUUUGUAAAAUGGGUCUGGCAUGUUUAAAUUUCAUUUGAAUAUUUUGUUAUAUGCUCUGAAAUCCGUAAAAUAUGAUUAGACAAUUUAUGAAAUUUAUAUUUGUAUAUAUGCAUUCUCAGCAUGGCUAUGAUCUGUUCUGUUCUGGCCCCGCUAAUGGGGAUUAUACGUUGGCCCUGUCGACUUGUAAUCUGUGAGGAACCGGUUUCGACACUGUACCACCGGUGAUUAGAAUAGUGGUAUUUGGACACCGUACCACCGGUGCUUAAUAAUAGUGGUGUUUGGCACCUUGUGC